rnacentral:lncRNA from 1 species
UUUUUUUUUUUUUUUUUUUUUGAGAGAGAUAGAUAGCAUGGUAUUCACUUUAUUUAUUUUAUUUAAAAAUAAAUUUAGAUGAAAAUGUGAAUCAUUAAUUACAGGGUAUUAAAGUAAUAUUCAAUAAACCAUAGGUAGGGUAUCUGAAGUUUUUUUUCUAUAUAAUUUAAUGAAGAGUUAACAAAGGUGCUGACGGAAAGAGAAAAAUAAAACUAUAGGAUAUUAAAGUGAUACACUUUAAGCUAUAGGGUACUAAAGUGAGAAAGUGCGAAAUUAGAGGGUGGUAUUUGAAGUUUUUUCUAGAUUCUAUGACUCAAUUAACUAUUAGAAUGAGUGUUACUUUUUUUUUUUAAUUUAAUUCGGUUUAAAAUAGUUUAAUCUGCCAAAUUUAAUGAACUUAUCAAUUAAUUUGGUAAAAUUUCUAAUUUAUUCCGCUAAAAUCAUUCAAUUUUAAAAAUAAAAGUUGAAGUUUCUCAAUCAAAGUAGCCUUUAACUGUUUUGUAAUGAACAAAAUUAGAAUAAUUAGCUAUAUAUUUAUGGCUAAUUCCGACAAAAAAAUUAAUAUUUUUUAAUUUAAUAAAAUUAAAAAUUCAGGAAAAAUUCGAAAUUAAAGGAUCUCAACAUUAAAAAAAAUCAAAAAAUCAAAUCGAGUCCAUUUGACGACUCUGCAUGGUUGAGGGGGUUUCCACUUUCCAUCCAUCUAUUACUAUAUACUAAAGUGCGUGGGGUAUUCUUCGUUUAUUGAUAUGUGUCUGACUCAAUUAUUUGGUAUACCCGGUGCAUCGUAGACCGUUGAUUGUGAACAUAUGUAUGGCGUAUGGGAUAAUGUUGGGCGCAUCUCGUCUAUUCUUUUUUAUUUUUAAAUCCUAAACUAUAUAAAAUUUUGAGUUAUUUUUCUAAAUUGGUUAUUGCCUAUCAACUAUUAAACUAAUUAGAGUACUCCAUUUUUUUUGUUAUUUAUCUAUUGUAAGUCCAAAUUUUAGAACAAAUUAUAUUUAAUUUCUUCACAUUGGUGGUUAAUUGUGCUAAAUUUAGAAAUUUCUUACAAAAUUAAAUAUAUGUUAAUAAAUUCUAAAUAGAAAUUAUAAAGUCGGUCAAUUAACCACCAAUGUGAAGAAAUUAAAUAUAAUUUGUUCUAAAUUUAGAAAUUUCUUACAAAAUUAAAUAUAUGUUAAUAAAUUCUAAAUAGAAAUUAUAAAGUCGGUCAAUUAAAAACCUAUGAAUUAAGUAACUACUUUUUAUUUUAUUAUAAUAUUUUCAAUUCUCGAUAUUGCUUACAUGAGUCGACAAAAAUUAUCUGAAUAGAGUUAGAAGAAUAAAAUUUUUUAAAAAAACACAAAAAGAGGAUAUAUAUCUUUUGGACAAACUGGUCCAAAAAUAAGAAUAUUACAAACUUUUCCUUUUUACUUCAGAAAAUUUUCAAAGUUUAUAGAACCCCCAAUAAUUUAAAUAAGAACUAUCAAAUAGUUAGAUACAAAAUAUGUAACAAAAUUUUAUAUUUUGAAAUCAAAUAUUAAUAAAAAAUAUAUAUAUUAAAAAAUAUAUUAUAUUUUAGAAAUAUAAUUAAAAAUAUAUCAAUUUUAUCUGCGAUAAAGCGCGGACACAUUGCUAAUAUUUACGUGUCAUUGACUCAUUGGAGGUCGCCCAAUAUUCCCAAUCUCCCACCGUUUGCCUCAAACAUGUGGCCUUCUCCUAUUGGCCCAAUAGUUGGGGCUGUAGAAAAUAAAAAAGUUAAAAAUGCACCGAGCAUAUUAUUAAUGGGUCAUUUCCAACUAAUCAGACUAUUGUUCUUAAAUUUAUCCAUCUCAUCAUAAUUAUUAAAAAUUAUUUUUAUUAUACUUUUUUCCUCAAAUAAAAAUAUGUGAUUGGUUAUUUAUUGAUGAUGUGGUGUAAAUGUUCUAUUAUACACUUUCUUAUAAAAAAUCGCUAUACUAUAAUGUGUAUAUAAUUUGAACCUUCUUUGUUCCUAGUGCGCAAGAUAUACAGGUAAUGUUUGAUUUUUUUUACAAUUUUAUUUCUGUAACUUAUUACCAUGAUAUAACAUUUUUUUCCCAUUUAGUUGGCAUAGUAAUAAUAUCAUGUCAAAAUGCUACAAAUAUUAAAUUAAUCAGGCUCUAUAGCCUCUAUUUGAGCACACUCGAACAUAUUUCAAUUUUUUUUUAUACAAUAGUAUAAGAAUUUGUCUGAAAUAUCAUUAUUUUUGGAUUAAAAACUUUAUGUCGGAGGUGUUUGGAUCACUUUAAUCUUUUAAUUAGGUCUCACAAAAAGUGGUCGAGUUCUAGAAAGAGAAAGUUUUUGGCCAAUUUCCAUUAUUAUUAUUUUUUUAUCAGAAAGUAGGAGAAUAAAUGGUUAUGGUAGCACUCAUUUAUUGAUUUACAUUAAAAUGACAUAGGUUCAAACUCUUUGAUAUGCCAAAAUUAUACAGGAUUAUUAUGAUCACUGUGUUGUAUCUUGCACUUUUACAAAGAGAACCCAUAUAGCUCUUUUUUUAAAAAAAUACUUUACUAAUCAAAACACCUUAUAUUAAACAAAUACUUUAUUUUCACGUGAUACGCAAACAGAACCUAGAUCGUUUAGUUUGCAAAAAUGAAUAGUACGUACUGUGGUUGUUUGGUCCAAUUUUUGCUCGCUAGGUCUAGAAGCAUGUUUUUCAAAUUUUUUUUAUUUGCAAAAUCUUGGUGCCUUUUGGUAUUAGCAAAAGGCCACAUUCAGCAGCUUUACUGCAAAAGUCUCCUCUACAAGAGUUUCUGCGAUACAAGAAAAAGACAAAACAUAGUCUUUUCACAUUGAGGCCCUUUGCAUAUCUGAUAACGAAGCGUAGUUAAAUUCUAUUACACUGAUAGUAAAUGUCACGCUCCGAAUUACACAUUUUUUUAGACAUGCCAACAGACCCACUGUAUAUAUAGAAAUAUUUUCUAUAUACGAAGCGAUAGCUGCACCUGUAAACACAUCGAGCUAGAACCACAAGAUAACGAGCUGCCAAAUUGAAAAACAUAUAUAAAUAAAAAUCUCAAGGGGUUCCAGUAUAUACAAAAUAUCUACUAUACCACUCGCUCCAGCGAGUACUCAGACAACAACCAUAUGUACAUAAAUACCCCAAAACUACCUGUGAGAGGUACUCCCUAACACUGCAACAAGUCUGGAAAGGAUCUAGCUCGCAACUCUCUUUCCACGAUCAGAAUCGGCGACAUUAGCAGUUGUAGAAGAAAGCUAUGCAAAAAGGGGUCAACAACUGGGUGUGAGAACUACUGUAAAACGAAAUAGUCCUCAGUGGGUACCACUACUGACUUCAACGGCUCACCCACUAAGUCUACAGAAAGUAUGCACAAGAAUAGUAAAGGAUGCCGACAAAACAUUACAGCUACAUGUCACUAUACUAUCGCUAACCACUAUCUGUAGAUAAAAACUGCACUCUCUGACUCAAUCUCACUAGGGACUAUGAACACACCUGUCCCGUCUGUCGAAACUACACCAACCACUACCACACUGGGUUGUUGGUGGAGAGAAAGUCCAACCAGGACACCACGACAUCAACGCAAAAGCACUAAUGGGCGCUACUCAACCGAGUAUACAAGCGUGUCUCUGCCGAGUUCAAUCAGGCUCUUACAGACUAUAAUCAAAGCAAAUGAGUCUAGCUGGUCCUACAACUAAAACGCACGUGCCCUUAGCACAAUCUGAUACAAAAAUAACAAUCUGGGUCCACUGUCAACCGCGACGGCACCCGACAGUCCGAAACAAUCUACACACUACUGUAAAAUAAGCUCGGCACCCCAGUACGAGCGUAAACUCAUCCUGCACCAAUCUGGGUAUCCACCGCAUAUAAAUAGCGGCGAUACAGACGAAUCACAGUUCCUAAAGCUACAUCUGGUAAUUUUCAAAAAAUGACAGUGUAGGGUUUAAUAGUUUUCUCCUAAGUCAAUUCCAACUCCAACAUGUAAAACGAAUCUAGAAUUCAAAGUUCCAACUCAGAUUUCAUUAAAGCAAUGCAAAUCGGUGAAUUGAGCUACUAACAUGGUACUACACAGAAAGUUUACAGGUUGACAAAAAUCUAGGCUUAGGAGAAAAUUCGACGAUUUCGGUAAACUUCAACCCACCUCAAAAAACUCGUCCAACAAUGGCAAGAAGUCGAAAUAAGAGAAAACCACGCGCUCGCCCGGUCUCCAACUACGCAACUGCGACGCAAGUACGCUCGAAUGACCCUCUGGAUCGACGUCGAAAUCUCCCGAGCUCGAGCCACGGCCUCCAUCAAGCACACGAUCAAAAACUAAAGAGAGAGAGGAAAAGGGAGAAGAGUAUCCUCUCUCAGCAACUCAGGUUGAUAUAGAUAAGGGAGGGUAGGUAGCGAUGAUAACCAUCAACAAAAAGACCACAAUACCCCUCACCAACUUAAAAUUUCAGCUGGAGUACCGGUACCCGAUUUGGUUACCGGUACUCGGCCUCUCAGUCCACAAGCUCGUACACCGGAUAACGGUACCAGCCUGAUGCUGUACCGGUACCCAGCAUCAAUUGGCGCAACCCGAGAGCAUGCUGUCCAGGAUUUAUACUGCGGUACCGGUACUCCCCUGCGUGGUACCGGUAAUCAAUAUUGAAAACCUACACUUUGCAGAUUCCAAUAUCAAUACACCACUCUUGCGUCGUAUUGAGUCCGUUUUGCGUCCAUUUCGCGCCAAAACGACUCCAACUUGUCCCGACACUCUCCAGAUGUGUCGACAAGCCUUAGAUGCUGAAAUCUCACUAGCAAUCAACCACCAGGGAUACUACAGUAAAAUUAUUCUGUAAAGCGUUUGGAAGAAAAAAAUAAUAACAUAAUUUUUAGAGUAUAGUUAAACUAUAUUCCAAAAAAUAGAGUAAAAUUAUAAUUCACUCUAACCAAAGAAAAAUAAUUCUAUUAUUUUUGAGCUCCCUUAGUUCCAAGAUGUAUCAAGUUCUAAUUUAAAUUUUAAAAUAAAAUUUUAAAUUGCAACCUAGAUUUUAGAUUGUAAAUUUUAAAAAUUUAAAAUUUAAUUUUAAUUUUAAUUUUUAACUUUUAAAUUUUAAAUUUUAUAGUUUGAAUUUAUUAUUCAAAUUUUUAAUUUUUAAUUUAAAAUUUUGAAUUCUAAAAUUUACAUAUCAAGAAUUUAAAUUUUAUAAUUUUGAAAUUUAAAUGUCAAAUUUUAAAUUUCAAAUUUUCUAAUUUUAUAAUUUUAAAUUUUAAUUUUUGAAUAUUAAAUUUUAAAUUUUAUCUUUCAAAUAAUAAAUUUUAAAUUUUAAAUCCCAAAAUUUCUAAUUUUUUAAUUUCAAAUUUUAUUUUUUAAAUAUCAAAUAUCAAAUUUUAAUUUUUAAAUAUCGAAUAUCAAAUUUUAAUUUUUAAAUUUCAAAUUUUAAAUUCUAAUUUUUAAUUUUCAAAUUUCAAUUUUCAAUUUUCAAAUUUCAAAUUUCAAAUUUUAAAUUUCAAAUUUCAAAAUUUAUUUUAAAUUUUAAUUUUCAAAAUCUAAAUUUCAAAUUUCAAAAUUUAUUUUAAAUUUUAAUUUUCAAAAUCUAAAUUUCAAAUUUCAAAAUUUAGAUCUCAAAUCUCAAAUUUCAAAUUUCAAAUCUCAAAUCUCAAGUUUCAAAUAUCAAAUCUCAAAUCUCGAGUUUCCAAUUUCAAAUUCUAAAUUUUAAAAGUCAAAUUUAUUUUUUAAAUUUUAAAUUUUAGAUUUUAAAUUCUAAAUUUCAAAUUUAAAAUUAAAAUCUAAAUUUCACAUUUCAAAAUUUAUUUUAAAUUGAAAAUUUCAAAAUUUAAAUUUCAAAUUUCAAAAUUUAAAUCUCAAAUUUUAAAUUUCGAAUUUCAAAUUUCAAAUCUCAAGCUUCCAAUAUCAAAUCUCAAAUCUCAAGUUUCCAAUUUCAAAUUCUAAAUUUUAAAUUUCAAAUUUAUUUUUUAAAAUUUUAAAAUUUAGAUUUUAAAUUCUAAAUUUCAAAAUUUAAAUUUUUUAUUUCAAAUUUUAAAUUUUUAAAUUUUAAUAUUAAAUUUAGAUUUUUCUAUUUCAAAAUUAUAAAUUUCAAAUUUUAAAAUUAAGAAAAAUUUCAUGAUGUUGCACAAUGUGCAUUCAAACAGUUUAAAAAUUUAAUCUGUGAAAUUUUUUAUGGUUAUAGAAUUCUUUAAUUCAUCGAAGCUAAAAGCACAGUAUAUAAAUUCCAUGGAGAUAUUUCAUUAUGCAUCCAAACAGACCCUAUAUACAUUAGAUAGGACCGCUA